rnacentral:rRNA from 1 species
UAUUGGACAAUGGGGGCAACCCUGAUCCAGCCAUGCCGCGUGAGUGAUGAAGGCCCUAGGGUUGUAAAGCUCUUUUAACGGGGAAGAUAAUGACGGUACCCGUAGAAUAAGCCCCGGCUAACUUCGUGCCAGCAGCCGCGGUAAUACGAAGGGGGCUAGCGUUGCUCGGAAUCACUGGGCGUAAAGGGUGCGUAGGUGGAUAUUUAAGUCAGGGGUGAAAUCCUGGAGCUCAACUCCAGAACUGCCUUUGAUACUGAGUAUCUUGAGUUCGGGAGAGGUGAGUGGAACUGCGAGUGUAGAGGUGAAAUUCGUAGAUAUUCGCAAGAACACCAGUGGCGAAGGCGGCUCACUGGCCCGAUACUGACACUGAGCACGAAA